rnacentral:rRNA from 1 species
UUUCUCUUUAUGGGAAAUUGAGAUGCAGUGUAUGGAAUGUCUAUAUGCUAGUAUGACAUAUUAACGAUUUAAGUCCUUCUUAAAUGAGGCCAUUUACCCAUAGAGGGUGCCAGGCCCGUAUAACGUUAAUGAUUACUAGAAGAUAUUUCCAAAGAGUCGUGUUGCUUGAUAGUGCAGCACUAAGUGGGUGGUAAACUCCAUCUAAAACUAAAUAUGACCAUGAGACCGAUAGCAAACAAGUACCGUGAGGGAAAGUUGAAAAGAACUCUGAAUAGAGAGUUAAAUAGUACGUGAAACUGCUUAGAGGUUAAGCCCGAUGAACCUGAAUAUCCAUUAUGGAAAAUUCAUCAUUAUAAUUGUGAUAUUUUAAAAAUAUCAUGAGAAUAGUGUGCAUUUUUUCCAUAUAAGGACAUUGUAAUCUAUUAACAAAUAUAUAUUUAUCAAAAGAUCAUUUGCAAAAGUUUAUACGAUUUAAUGUGUUUACAUGUUAACAUUAUAUAAAUGCUUAUGAUUUGAUAAAGUGUUGAUAGAUUUAUUAUAUAUAGUGCUGAAAUUAUUUAUAAUUUUACAAUAAUAUAUUAAUCAUGAUUUUUAUAUUUAUUGUAUGCGCUUAUAUGAUUAACAAUGCGAAAGAUUCAGGAUACCUUCGGGACCCGUCUUGAAACACGGACCAAGGAGUCUAACAUAUGUGCAAGUAAUUGGGAAUUAAAAAACCUAAUUGCGAAAUAAACAUAACUUGUUAAUGGGAUUAAUUUUUAUAGAAAUUUAUUUUUAUAUUAAUUCCGUCCCGGGGCGUUCUAUAUAGUUAUGUAUAAUUAUAUUUAUAUAA